rnacentral:rRNA from 1 species
AGAGUUUGAUCCUGGCUCAGGAUGAACGCUGGCGGCGUGCCUAACACAUGCAAGUCGAGCGGGAAACUCCACUUCGGUGGAGCGGAGAGCGGCGCACGGGUGAGUAACACGUAGCUUACCUGCCCCGAAGAGGGGGAUAACUCACGGAAACGUGAGCUAAUACCCCAUAAGCUCCCAUCCUCUAGAGGGAUGCGAGAAAAGUUCAGGCGCUUCGGGAUGGGGCUGCGGCCCAUCAGCUAGUUGGUAAGGUAACGGCUUACCAAGGCGACGACGGGUAGGGGGCCUGAGAGGGUGACCCCCCACACUGGGACUGAGACACGGCCCAGACUCUUACGGGAGGCAGCAGUGAGGAAUAUUGCCCAAUGGACGCAAGUCUGAGGCAGCGACGCCGCGUGGGUGAUGAAGGUUUUCGGAUCGUAAAGCCCUUUUCUCGGUGACGAGGAAGGACGGUAACCGAGGAAUAAGUGUCGGCUAACUACGUGCCAGCAGCCGCGGUAAAACGUAGGACGCAAGCGUUAUCCGGAAUUACUGGGCGUAAAGCGCGUGCAGGCGGGUGAGUAAGUCAGCCGUGAAAGCUCCCGGCUAAACUGGGAGAGGUCGGUUGAAACUACUGAUCUGG